rnacentral:lncRNA from 1 species
AAGACUAAAAGAGAGACACGACCAAGAAGCAAUCGGCGCCCCACCCCUACCCCUAUUCUCUAAGACCUUAGAACCUAGUGUACACAAAAAAGGCAGCCUUCGAUCUUCUUCUCCAAGACUCAAAUUUUCUGGUGGAAACGAUGAGCUACUGAUCUUAAGAAAUUUUUCAUUGUUAACUUCGAAAAUAAAAAAAAACAAAACACAAACACUUUAGCUUCUUUCUCCGUGAUUCUGGUUCCCAACUAUGGAGUUUGAUUGAGCGAAGUUUUUUUUUAAGAGCCGAGGUUGCCGUUCGAGGUGUCAAUUUUGAAUUCGUGAUUUCUACCCGUCUCUCAUCGUUGUCCUCUCAGUUGAAUCUGUGGAGCCAAACUUUCUGUAUUUGCCGAUUUUUAAUCUAUUGAAAGAACUCCAACAGGUCCCCCUAAACUUCCCUCUCUUAUUUUGUUUGAUCUCUCUUUUUGCCAUGUUAUUUUGCGUAUGAUGAUUAAUUCUCCAUGAUACAUGUCCAUAGAAGUAGUUUUGUAUCGUUGCAAUUUGGGGCUAGGAAUCCUAGACUCACUUAGUUGUAAUUACUUUUUUUUUUGUAGAAAAUGGUGUUGAUUUUGGUGUUCGUUGGUUUAUGAUGCAAUCUUCAUUUGAACUAAGCUUGAGGUUUCACCUUAAAGGGAAUAAUCAGUUUCUUUUACAGUCACAUACUUAAAUCAGUAGUAAUAAUAUUUAGUGUUAGUAUUCUGCAUCUUUCCUUUUAAAACUAGAACUUAAGCUUUCAAUAUAUCAGUGGUGGAUUUUUCAACUUUGGGUUGAGUAUGAAUUGUUAAUGUUUAUUAGAUUUAUUUGGAGAAUUGAUGUUUAUUAGUUAAAUUUGUUUUGGUAUUGAAAAUACGUUAGAAUGGCAUCCUAAUAUGAUUUGGUUAAAUUUCUUUAAAUUUUUUAGUGCUUUAGUCCAUUUCUUGUCCCCAUGUAGAUACGUUAAUUUGUCUCUUAUUGACUUAGUUUGUUGAAUAGAUAUGGCAAAGUAAGUUGGUUUUGAUUUGAGUUGAAAGAGCGUUAAGGAAUCUUGCAGCUCAGUUGUGGCGUAGUUGGUUUAAAAUUGACGUGGGAUCGGGACUUAAAUAUUAAAAGACAACGGAAAGAAAUAUUCUUGUUGGGCGCGUUUUAUUUUAUUUAAUUGGUCCGCUAGUAGCAUGUUUAGGCCGACUACUUGGGUAGGCAAUAUUAGGACACUUUAUUAGUUUUCGAGGCGAGAGGUCGUUCCUUUAGUUUAUUAUCUGGGGAAUGCCCCGCGAAAUUUGUAGAUAUUUUUAUCCGGGGUAUGCCCCAAAGCAUUUGUAUUUGGAGGCCGAAAGUAGAACUUGUAGUAUUUUUAUUUUAUUUUUUAUUUUUCAUUUCUCUUUUAUUAGGUAAGGACAACCUCGAGCCUCUUGUGUGUUUAUUCCAUUGUUUUGCCCUAAUUUGAAUAUUUUAAAAGCCAACUAGAUUGAGUACGCAACCGUGACUUUCACGGGACUCGGGGAAUGUCUAACACCUUCUCUCCAAGUUAAAUGAACACCCUUACCCGAUUCUCUGGUGCAAACUUAGUUUUAGAGUCUCAAGUGUUUUAAAAGGAAACAAAAUUAUUUUUAGAAAAACGGUGACCUGACACUUGAAAUCAAUGUCAGGUGGCGACUCUUAGUUAAUCCUUUUGAACACAAAUUUUGUCACAUCCUAAUUGAAAACCCUUUUCAUGCUUUACAAAAAUCUUUUUAUUAAUUUAAGAGGGUUUAGUGAAGUUUGUAAAAAAAUAGGUGUGACAGGGUAUUGCUCCAAGUGUCGCCUAUGAAGGGCGUGAUGAGAUUUGGGAAGAAGGGCAAGCUUAGCCCUAUCAGUCCGU